rnacentral:rRNA from 1 species
AUUAAACGCUGGCGGCAUGCCUUACACAUGCAAGUCGAACGGCAGCACGGGGGCAACCCUGGUGGCGAGUGGCGAACGGGUGAGUAACGCAUCGGAACGUGCCCUGGAGUGGGGGAUAACGUAGCGAAAGUUACGCUAAUACCGCAUAUUCUGUGAGCAGGAAAGCAGGGGAUCGCAAGACCUUGCGCUCUGGGAGCGGCCGAUGUCGGAUUAGCUAGUUGGUGGGGUAAAAGCCUACCAAGGCGACGAUCCGUAGCGGGUCUGAGAGGAUGAUCCGCCACACUGGGACUGAGACACGGCCCAGACUCCUACGGGAGGCAGCAGUGGGGAAUUUUGGACAAUGGGCGCAAGCCUGAUCCAGCCAUGCCGCGUGAGUGAAGAAGGCCUUCGGG